rnacentral:rRNA from 1 species
UCCAGACUCCUACGGGAGGCAGCAGUGGGGGAUAUUGCACAAUGGGGGGAACCCUGAUGCAGCGACGCCGCGUGGGUGAAGGAGCGUUUCGGCGCGUAAAGCCCUAUCGGCAGGGAAGAAGGAGGACGGUACCUGACUAAGAAGCCCCGGCUAACUACGUGCCAGCAGCCGCGGUAAUACGUAGGUGACAAGCGUUGUCCGGAUUUACUGGGUGUAAAGGGCGCGUAGGCGGACUGUCAAGUCAGUCGUGAAAUACCGAAGCUUAACUUCGGGGCUGCGAUUGAAACUGACAGCCUUGAGUAUCGGAGAGGAAAGCGGAAUUCCUAGUGUAGCGGUGAAAUGCGUAGAUAUUAGGAGGAACACCAGUGGCGAAGGCGGCUUUCUGGACGACAACUGACGCUGAGGCGCGAAAGUGUGGGGAGCAAACAGGAUUAGAUACCCCCGUACA